rnacentral:tRNA from 1 species
UAAUUUAUCUCAGCCACUCCACUA